GUCGAAUGGAAAGAAAUUCGUGUACUUGAGUACAUGGAGUUCAAGGAUAUAAAACUGGUCGAAAAAUUAAAAAAGUUAGAUUUUCCACAACUUGUCAAGGUUAUGGCUGUUAAUCCUUUUGGACCCGAUCGACUAGAAAUGGUUUGUAUUGUACAGUAUAUAAUGCUUUGACCUGAAGUUAAUUAUAAAAUAAAAUUUCACCCGUAACACGUAAAAUCUACAUGAACCAGCUACCACAUUCAUUGAAUGUUCUAAAUCCUGCACCAACGAAUUAUCGACUAACAAUAAAAGCAGAGAAUAUAACUCGUUUAUAUAUAUAACAGAAUAUAAAUCUAUUUUAUUGUUGUUAGCAAGGUAAAGCAACGACGAACACAACACGUUGAACGGCCAAUUGUUUUACUUUUGUUGCCGUUUUAGUCGGCGCUACCAAACCUACGAAGAACCGUGUAACAGUUUUGGCUUCAACAGGCUCUAAAAACGACAAAGAACGGAAGCACACUCACCUACGAUAGUGGCAAUGUUGGAUUGUUUUUCCGUCGUGACCACUAAGUCCAGAAUUCCCGCACGGGUCACGCCUUGUGACGUCAUUAUGCAUGAGGUCUAUAUUGAGUAGAUUUGUCAUAUAAAACGAAAGAUUAUUGAAAGCUUACGAAUCCCUUAAAUUUUGUUUUGAUUCUGGAAUUUGGUAAGCUGGGUUAAUCAUGCACAUUCUCGCCACGAGCUUUUUUUACAUUCGUCGCACGUGCUGCUCUAGGAAGCCUCCUUAAAGAGUAUUCUAGUUAUUUCAGUUAUUAAACACUAAGUACUAGCUAACUCUUUCACGACAUGUCGGUUUCGCAUCACAUUACGAUUCAUUAAUGUAAAUAAUAUUAAUGUAAAUAUCGCGACCAAUAUUUACCCCCUUUAAAACAAAACCAACCAUUGUAAUCCUCACAAAAUAACCUUUCGAACGGGGGGUUAAGUGCCGUCAAAACAUUAUACAAUCCGAAGCAAUCAUAUAUUUAUACGCACCGCUUGGCCAAACAUUCAAACGAGAAAAAGUUGAAUAUUAUCUAAACUUUUCGUCAUUUUCUAAAAGGCUAUAUGAGUAAAUACUCUAAGGCGCAGACACAUUAUAUCUGUUGUGCGUACCGCACGUUCCUGGGAGGCAUUUUGUUUUAUUAUUAUUAAUACUUUAUUGUAAAGGAUUGCUAUACGAUAUGUUUGUUAGCCUCUUUUUCAUUGCAGAUUUCUGAGAGCUUCCCACAGGGAAAUGUUCUGGAUGUGUUGCUGGAUCGACCAAACCUUCGUAAAAAUUUCAAAUCGUACAUUUUGCAAGCUGGUAGAGCCGUUACCUACCUUCACGAACAGGGAAUUGUGCACAGAGAUUUAAAAGUUGAGAACUAUCUUAUGGAAUUAAAUAAUAUAACAGUGAGUGUUUA
rnacentral:lncRNA from 1 species